GUCGUCAAAGUCAGGGAGGGUGGCAUUCCCUCCGUGUCCCCCGGAAGAGAUAGGCAAUAGGCGAGGAGAGAAGGAGGCUGGACCGGGCAGAGGUCAAGGAGGAUCUGUUGACCGUCCAGGUUCUCUUGACCUUUGAGGAGGUGGCUGUGUUUUUCACAGUGGGCCCUGCUGGAUCCCAGCCAAAGAGCUCUGCACAGGGAAGUCAUGGAGGAAAAUUAUGAGACCGUUGCCUCUCUUGAUGAUGAGCAGAACACUGGGAAUUAUAGAGUGCCACCUGUGGUGUCGUUGGAAACAUCUGUGCGUGAAACAGGAAGAGAAAUGUUUGGGAAGCUAAGAGGACAAAAAAGGGACGAAGGAAAACAAUCAAAAGAAUGGGAAGAAGAAAUCUGCAGGUUCUCGGGUAUUGAUGUCUGUGAAUUCCUGAUCCUACAAAAGAUCCCAAAGGAAACAACACAGGGGGAAAUGGCUAUAAAUCAACAUUAAAGACAUGUAGCAGAACCACACAGGGGCAAAGGCAUUUAAAUGCAUGAAGUGUGGAAAGAGCUUCAGUAGGAGCUAUAGCCUUACUUUGCAUCGAAGAACCCACACAGGGGAGAAGCCCUUUAAAUGCAAGGAAUGUGGAAAGAGUUUCACUC